rnacentral:rRNA from 1 species
UACGGAGGGUGCAAGCGUUAUCCGGAUUCACUGGGUUUAAAGGGUGCGUAGGUGGGCAGGUAAGUCAGCGGUGAAAUCCCCGAGCUUAACUUGGGAACUGCCAUUGAUACUAUCUGUCUUGAAUAUCUUGGAGGUGAGCGGAAUAUGUCAUGUAGCGGUGAAAUGCUUAGAUAUGACAUAGAACACCAAUUGCGCAGGCAGCUCACUACACGAUUAUUGACACUGAGGCACGAAAGCGUGGGGAUCAAACAGG